rnacentral:rRNA from 1 species
UACGAACUGUGCGAACGUUAUUCGGAAUCACUGGGCUUACAGGGUGCGUAGGCGGCUUGUUAAGUAGGGUGUGAAAGCCCCCGGCUCAACUGGGGAGGGUCACGCGAUACUGAUCGACUCGAAGGCAGGAGAGGGUAGUGGAAUUCCCGGUGUAGUGGUGAAAUGCGUAGAUAUCGGGAGGAACACCAGUGGCGAAGGCGACUACCUGGCCUGUUCUUGACGCUGAGGCGCGAAAGCUAGGGGAGCAAACGGG